rnacentral:rRNA from 1 species
GACGAACGCUGGCGGCGUGCCUAACACAUGCAAGUCGAGCGAGUGAAUCUCCUUCGGGAGUGAAGCUAGCGGCGGACGGGUGAGUAACACGUGGGCAACCUGCCUCAUAGAGGGGAAUAGCCUUUCGAAAGGAAGAUUGAUACCGCAUAAGAUUGUAGCUUCGCAUGGAGUAGCAAUUAAAGGAGCAAUCCGCUAUGAGAUGGGCCCGCGGCGCAUUAGCUAGUUGGUGAGGUAACGGCUCACCAAGGCGACGAUGCGUAGCCGACCUGAGAGGGUGAUCGGCCACAUUGGGACUGAGACACGGCCCAGACUCCUACGGGAGGCAGCAGUGGGGAAUAUUGCACAAUGGGGGAAACCCUGAUGCAGCAACGCCGCGUGAGUGAUGACGGCCUUCGGGUUGUAAAGCUCUGUCUUCAGGGACGAUAAUGACGGUACCUGAGGAGGAAGCCACGGCUAACUACGUGCCAGCCGCCGCUGUAAUAC